GGGCCCUUAGCUCAGCGGUAGAGCGCUCGGUUGGCAAUCGGGAGGCCGCGGGUUCAAUUCCCGCAGGGUCCA
rnacentral:tRNA from 1 species